UGGCUGUCGUCAGCUCGUGUUGUGAAAUGUUGGGUUAAGUCCCGCAACGAGCGCAACCCUUAUCCUUUGUUGCCAGCGGUUCGGCCGGGAACUCAAAGGAGACUGCCAGUGAUAAACUGGAGGAAGGUGGGGAUGACGUCAAGUCAUCAUGGCCCUUACGAGUAGGGCUACACACGUGCUACAAUGGCGUAUACAAAGAGAAGCGACCUCGCGAGAGCAAGCGGACCUCAUAAAGUACGUCGUAGUCCGGAUUGGAGUCUGCAACUCGACUCCAUGAAGUCGGAAUCGCUAGUAAUCGUAGAUCAGAAUGCUACGGUGAAUACGUUCCCGGGCCUUGUACACACCGCCCG
rnacentral:ncRNA from 1 species